rnacentral:rRNA from 1 species
UACAGAGGUCCCAAGCGUUGUUCGGAUUCAUUGGGCGUAAAGGGUGCGUAGGCGGCGCGGUAAGUCGGGUGUGAAAUCUCGGAGCUUAACUCCGAAACUGCAUUCGAUACUGCCGUGCUUGAGGACUGGAGAGGAGACUGGAAUUUACGGUGUAGCGGUGAAAUGCGUAGAUAUCAGGAAGAACACCCGUGGCGAAGGCGGUUCUCUGGGACGGUACUGACGCUGAGACGCGAAAGCGUGGGGAGCGAACAGG